AGAAGUCCUGGAAUUUCAGAAAGAAAACUUUAUACUACCAGCAAGAAAUAUUUCCACUCAAAGGAUGCACCUGCCCGAGAAAGCAAAGGAAAAAUCGAAAAGCAGGAUGGUUAUAAUUGGGCCUAACAGGCCCAAUAGCCCUCCGAGUCCAAAAAAGGGAAAAAGAAUGGGCGACUCGGCGUUUGACAAACGAGUUGUGAACGGCCUGCAGCUACAACUACAAGAUCAAUAUCAACGUCAACGGACUCCACUGUACAUCUCGUCGAUUAGUCUUUCAUGGAUUUGCAUCUUCCAACGAGUUUCGAUGCUGCGGCCUCCUUCUUUGCUUUCUGAAAGUGGAAUCAAGGAGGGCAAUCACUUGCAUGUUAAUCUGUUUCUGUAACUGUUCGUGCUUCUAACUUUACAUGCUUCAUCAGUCAUUCUUGCAUUUCAUUGUCAAUAUCUUUUAAUUCUUUUAAUUUACGUAUAAAAUUUUAAUUUGUAAUGACCCAAAACUCACUGGAUUACUUACAUGGCAUUUUUAUUGCUGACUUGUUUGAUAGUUCUGUUAUGAAGGAAGUUGCCUAGUUACUUACCUGUGUCUCCAUCCGUUAAGAAAGUCCAUUUUAGAUGCAAGAUAUUUUUUGUCCUCAUCUUUUAUAACAUGUGAACAUGGACUGUUAUUCGAAUACUUGGCAAAUAGCAUCUAGAAGAAGGUCAUUAAGUGUUGUAAUUUUUUAGAGCAUAUUGAUUCUGUAAGUAGCUUUAGUGUGAUCUAGAAAUUUUCGUUCACCAUUCUCAUUCAGCCAAAAGCUUUGAUAGUUUCAAAAAUUGAAACUAAGAGUUGGACAACUGGUAUCCUGGUGUAACUAGGUGUAUCAUUAGCAGCAGUGAGUGGGGAAAAAUUACUACAAAAAGAAUUCAACAGUAGAAAAACCAUAAAUUGUGGUGACUUAUCUUGACUUUGCUGAUUGUUCUGUAAAUCAAAAUCUCGGCACACAAGAUUUUUUUUUUUUUUUUACAUUUUUUAGAUAAUCAGGAUCCUGAUUUUCCCUUUGCUUGGAUACAAGGACAUAUACUUUUGCUAUAUAAAUGUAAUAUCUAGACUGAUAAGCCGACAUUAGAUUGGUACAGCAUAGAAAGUAGAGUUAAGGACAAGCCUGAUUCUGUUAAUAGACAAUUUUGUUUCUCAGAUGUAUUUCCCAAUUUGUUUUGUUGGUGCUCAAAGGUUCAUGAUCUUUCACACCAAUAGAGAUUAGCAAUUUGUUUGAGAUAGUUUGAAAGGUCUUUUUAUGUUUUGAGCAAGAACUUUGUUUAUUCUAAUUGCUCAACAAUGACGUGAUAUACUUAAAUUGUGAAACCUUAAUCAUGGGGAUUAUUCCUUAACAAUGAGAUGGUGUUGGUUGAGAGAUGUGGCUAUAAUUGCUGUAGAGUAUGAUAAAAUAUGCGAUUUUUAAAUUCUGAAAACAUAGCUAUGUGAUUUCUUCUUAAAAAGGGGAUGGGGUCAGUUGAAAAAUGUGGCUAUACUGGCUGUAGGAAUAUGAUUGAUGGAGAAUUGCUGAACUGUCAGUAUCUUUCUUACAAUGAUCUUCCUUACCAUUUAUUUCUACGAUUACUCUACAUGGGAGUUAGGCACUUACAUGUCGUGUUAUGACCAAUCAAUACAACAUUUCAGUGGAUUUCAUACACAUUACUAGAAUUUCUGAAAUAUGGAGAUAUUUUCCAGGACUUGAGGUGGUACAGUGCCCAUGGCUGUGGUGAUAAACAAAAGUUAAUCAGCAUCUUAAGUUUUCCCCUCAAAUCUUGUUAUGAUGUUUGUCAUUCUGAAGUAGUUUUAAGAAAUUUUAUCUAUAUUGAGUAUUUCUAGCCAUGAUAGAUAAUUAAGCUGGACGUACUGUCGGCAUGUGAUAACAUGAAGCAAGCAGCAGGUGGCAUCUGUGUAAGGAUGGAAAUGUUUUAAUAGUAUUCUGAACUUAUAGUCUUGAUGUUGAUGGGUCCAUGUGAAUGUAGGUACAGCUGUGGCACUGUGAUUCGGUAAUGAUGAUAAUAGGAUCCAGUGUAAAAGAUCGUUGGCAUGGUGUUGCUAUGAUGGUAGUGAACCAGCUGCUGAUGGUUGUGAUACAUCUCAUGUUUUAAUAAGGAUGGCACUGUUCUAAGGCAUGAAGAUGGCAGUGCUAGUAUUGCUUUUGGUUUUAUCCCAACAAGAGUAAAUAAUCUGUUUUUUGGAGGAAAGAGUUUGUAAAAUACCUAAGUUGUUGGUUAAAAUUAUCCCCGAGGCACAACGGGAUAACAAGUGCUGUUCAGUCUUCUGUUCUCAUGUGGGUCAUUAACAGUAUGCUUAUGAACUUGCAGUGUUAUGCACUGUUCUUUGUCCUUCCUAGAGAAAUGAUUGAAACAAACCGGGACGGCUAUAAUGAUCUCUAGGCAACGACCACCAAGUAAAGUUUGAGAUUGUUUUUUAUACUGUUGUUUUGCCUUUCACUCUGCUGCUUCAUCCUCCUGAAUGAUUCAAUGUUGUUUCAGAUUGUUUUACCCUCAAAUUCGAGGUUUAUACUUUGUUUU